AAAUAAUUCAUAUGAAAAUAUAAUUCGUCAUGUUAAGAUAUAAAAUUUGAGAGAGAUACGCAGUACGUGUUGUGUUGGAAAAAUCAAAGAUGAAGAUGAACUUCUAAAGGAAAUAAUAUCACAUGUUGAUUCAAAUGUGAUCGAUGGUGGAAGUAGAAGCGGAGUUGUAAAACAUUAAUUAAUGAGUCAUGUAAUAUUUAGAAAUUUAGAUUUGUUAAGUGUUUAGGUUGUCUUGUGUUGCUGGAUAUCUUUUAAACCAGCUAGUUUUUUGUGGAAAAAAUGAUGUAAUGAUCAACAUUUAUCCGCUAAAUCUUACGUUGGCUAUUAUGUAUUUUUGUAAGUAUUCACCAAAGUUUGUGAUUCAUAAAUGUAUUUUUGUAAGUAUCCAUCCGAAGUGUGUGAUUUGUAAAUGAAUUUUUAUAUGAA